GCCUGGGAUAGCUCAGUUGGUAGAGACUUUUCACCUCAGAGUCAUGGGUUCAAGCCCCACACUGGGUA